rnacentral:siRNA from 1 species
GGAUCAUCUCCAUCCUCAUGUGC